rnacentral:rRNA from 1 species
ACGCUAGCUACAGGCUUAACACAUGCAAGUCGAGGGGCAGCAUGAACUUAGCUUGCUAAGUUUGAUGGCGACCGGCGCACGGGUGAGUAACACGUAUCCAACCUGCCGAUGACUCGGGGAUAGCCUUUCGAAAGAAAGAUUAAUACCCGAUGGCAUAGUUCUUCCGCGUGGUAGAACUAUUAAAGAAUUUCGGUCAUCGAUGGGGAUGCGUUCCAUUAGGUUGUUGGCGGGGUAACGGCCCACCAAGCCUUCGAUGGAUAGGGGUUCUGAGAGGAAGGUCCCCCACAUUGGAACUGAGACACGGUCCAAACUCCUACGGGAGGCAGCAGUGAGGAAUAUUGGUCAAUGGACGAGAGUCUGAACCAGCCAAGUAGCGUGAAGGAUGACUGCCCUAUGGGUUGUAAACUUCUUUUAUACGGGAAUAAAGUGAGGCACGUGUGCCUUUUUGUAUGUACCGUAUGAAUAAGGAUCGGCUAACUCCGUGCCAGCAGCCGCGGUAAUACGGAGGAUCCGAGCGUUAUCCGGAUUUAUUGGGUUUAAAGGGAGCGUAGGCGGACGCUUAAGUCAGUUGUGAAAGUUUGCGGCUCAACCGUAAAAUUGCAGUUGAUACUGGGUGUCUUGAGUGCAGUAGAGGCAGGCGGAAUUCGUGGUGUAGCGGUGAAAUGCUUAGAUAUCACGAAGAACUCCGAUUG